rnacentral:rRNA from 1 species
GAUGAACGCUGGCGGCGUGCCUAAUACAUGCAAGUCGAGCGAAUGGAUUAAGAGCUUGCUCUUAUGAAGUUAGCGGCGGACGGGUGAGUAACACGUGGGUAACCUGCCCAUAAGACUGGGAUAACUCCGGGAAACCGGGGCUAAUACCGGAUAACAUUUUGAACCGCAUGGUUCGAAAUUGAAAGGCGGCUUCGGCUGUCACUUAUGGAUGGACCCGCGUCGCAUUAGCUAGUUGGUGAGGUAACGGCUCACCAAGGCAACGAUGCGUAGCCGAACUGAGAGGGGGGUGGGGCACACUGGGACUGAGACACGGCCCAGAAUCCUACGGGAGGCAGCAGUAGGGAAUCUUCCGCAAUGGACGAAAGUCUGACGGAGCAACGCCGCGUGAGUGAUGAAGGCUUUCGGGUCGUAAAACUCUGUUGUUAGGGAAGAACAAGUGCUAGUUGAAUAAGCUGGCACCUUGACGGUACCUAACCAGAAAGCCACGGCUAACUACGUGCCAGCCGCCUCAGUAA